UACAGAGGGGGCUAGCGUUGUUCGGAAUUACUGGGCGUAAAGCGUGCGUAGGUGGUGAGUUAAGUCUGUCGUGAAAGCCCCGGGCUCAACCUGGGAAUGGCGAUGGAUACUGGCUCGCUAGAGUGCGGUAGAGGAGAGUGGAAUUCCCGGUGUAGCAGUGAAAUGCGUAGAGAUCGGGAGGAACAUCAGUUGCGAAGGCGGCUCUCUGGACCAGCACUGACACUGAGGCACGAAAGCGUGGGGAGCAAACAGG
rnacentral:rRNA from 1 species